rnacentral:rRNA from 1 species
UAGGGAAUCUUCGGCAAUGGACGAAAGUCUGACCGAGCAACGCCGCGUGAGUGAAGAAGGUUUUCGGAUCGUAAAACUCUGUUGUUAGAGAAGAACAAGGGUGAGAGUAACUGUUCACCCCUUGACGGUAUCUAACCAGAGAGCCACGGCUAACUACGUGCCAG